AUACGGAGGGUGCAAGCGUUACUCGGAAUCACUGGGCGUAAAGCGCGCGCAGGCGGUCUUUUAAGUUGGAUGUGAAAGCCUACGGCUCAACCGUAGAACUGCAUCCAAAACUAUUAGACUAGAGUGCGGGAGAGGAAGAUGGAAUUAGUUGUGUAGGGGUAAAAUCCGUAGAGAUAACUAGGAAUACCAAAAGCGAAGGCAAUCUUCUGGAACACUACUGACGCUGAGGCGCGAAAGCGUGGGGAGCAAACAGGAUUAGAUACCCCAGUAGUCC
rnacentral:rRNA from 1 species